AAUCCAUAGGUUAAUGAGGCGAACCGGGGGAACUGAAACAUCUAAGUACCCCGAGGAAAAGAAAUCAACCGAGAUUCCCCCAGUAGCGGCGAGCGAACGGGGAGGAGCCCAGAGCCUGAAUCAGCAUGUGUGUUAGUGGAAGCGUCUGGAAAGGCGCGCGAUACAGGGUGACAGCCCCGUACACAAAAGCGCAUGUGCUGUGAGCUCGAUGAGUAGGGCGGGACACGUGGUAUCCUGUCUGAAUAUGGGGGGACCAUCCUCCAAGGCUAAAUACUCCUGACUGACCGAUAGUGAACCAGUACCGUGAGGGAAAGGCGAAAAGAACCCCGGCGAGGGGAGUGAAAAAGAACCUGAAACCGUGUACGUACAAGCAGUGGGAGCACCCUUUGGGUGUGACUGCGUACCUUUUGUAUAAUGGGUCAGCGACUUAUAUUCUGUAGCAAGGUUAACCGAAUAGGGGAGCCGGAGGGAAACCGAGUCUUAACCGGGCGUUAAGUUGCAGGGUAUAGACCCGAAACCCGGUGAUCUAGCCAUGGGCAGGUUGAAGGUUGGGUAACACUAACUGGAGGACCGAACCGACUAAUGUUGAAAAAUUAGCGGAUGACCUGUGGCUGGGGGUGAAAGGCCAAUCAAACCGGGAGAUAGCUGGUUCUCCCCGAAAGCUAUUUAGGUAGCGCCUCGUGAAUUCAUCUCCGGGGGUAGAGCACUGUUUCGGCUAGGGGGCCAUCCCGGCUUACCAACCCGAUGCAAACUGCGAAUACCGGAGAAUGUUAUCACGGGAGACACACGGCGGGUGCUAACGUCCGUCGUGAAGAGGGAAACAACCCAGACCGCCAGCUAAGGUCCCAAAGUCAUGGUUAAGUGGGAAACGAUGUGGGAAGGCCCAGACAGCCAGGAUGUUGGCUUAGAAGCAGCCAUCAUUUAAAGAAAGCGUAAUAGCUCACUGGUCGAGUCGGCCUGCGCGGAAGAUGUAACGGGGCUAAACCAUGCACCGAAGCUGCGGCAGCGACACUGUGUGUUGUUGGGUAGGGGAGCGUUCUGUAAGCCUGUGAAGGUGUGUCGUGAGGCAUGCUGGAGGUAUCAGAAGUGCGAAUGCUGACAUAAGUAACGAUAAAGCGGGUGAAAAGCCCGCUCGCCGGAAGACCAAGGGUUCCUGUCCAACGUUAAUCGGGGCAGGGUGAGUCGACCCCUAAGGCGAGGCCGAAAGGCGUAGUCGAUGGGAAACGGGUUAAUAUUCCCGUACUUGGUGUUACUGCGAAGGGGGGACGGAGAAGGCUAUGUUGGCCGGGCGACGGUUGUCCCGGUUUAAGCGUGUAGGUGUGUGUUCCAGGUAAAUCCGGUUCACUUUAACACUGAGGCGUGACGACGAGGCACUACGGUGCUGAAGCAACAAAUGCCCUGCUUCCAGGAAAAGCCUCUAAGCAUCAGGUAACAUCAAAUCGUACCCCAAACCGACACAGGUGGUCAGGUAGAGAAUACCAAGGCGCUUGAGAGAACUCGGGUGAAGGAACUAGGCAAAAUGGUGCCGUAACUUCGGGAGAAGGCACGCUGACACGUAGGUGAAGUGAUUUACUCAUGGAGCUGAAGUCAGUCGAAGAUACCAGCUGGCUGCAACUGUUUAUUAAAAACACAGCACUGUGCAAACACGAAAGUGGACGUAUACGGUGUGACGCCUGCCCGGUGCCGGAAGGUUAAUUGAUGGGGUCAGCGCAAGCGAAGCUCCUGAUCGAAGCCCCGGUAAACGGCGGCCGUAACUAUAACGGUCCUAAGGUAGCGAAAUUCCUUGUCGGGUAAGUUCCGACCUGCACGAAUGGCGUAAUGAUGGCCAGGCUGUCUCCACCCGAGACUCAGUGAAAUUGAACUCGCUGUGAAGAUGCAGUGUACCCGCGGCAAGACGGAAAGACCCCGUGAACCUUUACUAUAGCUUGACACUGAACAUUGAGCCUUGAUGUGUAGGAUAGGUGGGAGGCUUUGAAGUGUGGACGCCAGUCUGCAUGGAGCCGACCUUGAAAUACCACCCUUUAAUGUUUGAUGUUCUAACGUGGACCCGUUACCCGGGUUGCGGACAGUGUCUGGUGGGUAGUUUGACUGGGGCGGUCUCCUCCUAAAGAGUAACGGAGGAGCACGAAGGUUGGCUAAUCCUGGUCGGACAUCAGGAGGUUAGUGCAAUGGCAUAAGCCAGCUUGACUGCGAGCGUGACGGCGCGAGCAGGUGCGAAAGCAGGUCAUAGUGAUCCGGUGGUUCUGAAUGGAAGGGCCAUCGCUCAACGGAUAAAAGGUACUCCGGGGAUAACAGGCUGAUACCGCCCAAGAGUUCAUAUCGACGGCGGUGUUUGGCACCUCGAUGUCGGCUCAUCACAUCCUGGGGCUGAAGUAGGUCCCAAGGGUAUGGCUGUUCGCCAUUUAAAGUGGUACGCGAGCUGGGUUUAGAACGUCGUGAGACAGUUCGGUCCCUAUCUGCCGUGGGCGCUGGAGAACUGAGGGGGGCUGCUCCUAGUACGAGAGGACCGGAGUGGACGCAUCACUGGUGUUCGGGUUGUCAUGCCAAUGGCACUGCCCGGUAGCUAAAUGCGGAAGAGAUAAGUGCUGAAAGCAUCUAAGCACGAAACUUGCCCCGAGAUGAGUUCUCCCUGAGACUUAAAGUCUCCUGAAGGAACGUUGAAGACGACG
rnacentral:rRNA from 1 species